CGUCGGCGCUGGCACCUGGCUGCUGCUCGAGCAACAACAAAAAAAUCAACAGCCCGUGGCUGAGGCUUUUAAAAAGGAAAGUUUUCUAUGUUCUUUUUUCCAUCAGGUUUUGCUCCUUCUCUUCUUUCACUUACCUGUUGAAGCUUGAGCUGCUGGGAUGGAUUCUCCUCUGCAACCAGCCUCCACUCGGCAGAAGAUGCCAGCAUAAAAUACCUUGCCUUUCCUGGAGGGCUCCUCUCUGGACUAGGAGAACCUCAACUGAAAAUGAAGCCCGUGGCUUACGGCUUCUUUAGCCUGAUGUCUCAGAGUAAUGGCCAACACAGACAUGCAGAACUGCUGGAACUGUGUACUGGAUAAUGAGACAUUUUCUCUGCACAUCCAAGGAAAGUACAUGAUGUGAUUCUUGGACUCAAUGGUCCUUAUGCGUUCCUUCCAAGUCAGCAUACUCUGUGAUUCUAAGAACCUGCAAAACCUAGGGGAAGAUAUUCCAGGGCAUCUCUCUUUGGAUUUGGCAUUGACUGUAGCGUUCAGAAGUUAACCACACAGCUAAUAAAAGAAUGUGCAGUAAUUCAUUUUUAA